UACAGAGGGUGCGAGCGUUAAUCGGAAUUACUGGGCGUAAAGCGUGCGUAGGCGGUUAUGUAAGUCAGGUGUGAAAGCCCCGGGCUCAACCUGGGAAUUGCAUUUGAGACUGCAUAGCUAGGGUGCGGAAGAGGGAAGCGGAAUUUCCGGUGUAGCGGUGAAAUGCGUAGAUAUCGGAAGGAACAUCAGUGGCGAAAGCGGCUUCCUGGUCCAGCACUGACGUUCAGGCACGAAAGCGUGGGGAGCAAACAGG
rnacentral:rRNA from 1 species